AACGAACGCUGGCGGCAGGCUUAACACAUGCAAGUCGAACGCAUCCUUCGGGGUGAGUGGCAGACGGGUGAGUAACGCGUGGGAACGUGCCCUUCAGUUCGGGAUAGCCCAGGGAAACUUGGGCUAAUACCGGAUACGUGCGAGAGCAGAAAGAUUUAUCGCUGAAGGAUCGGCCCGCGUCUGAUUAGCUAGUUGGUGAGGUAAUGGCUCACCAAGGCGACGAUCAGUAGCUGGUCUGAGAGGAUGAUCAGCCACACUGGGACUGAGACACGGCCCAGACUCCUACGGGAGGCAGCAGUGGGGAAUAUUGGACAAUGGGCGCAAGCCUGAUCCAGCCAUGCCGCGUGAGUGACGAAGGCCUUAGGGUUGUAAAGCUCUUUCGGCGGGGACGAUAAUGACGGUACCCGCAGAAGAAGCCCCGGCUAACUUCGUGCCAGCCGCCGCAGUAA
rnacentral:rRNA from 1 species